rnacentral:ncRNA from 1 species
CGACCUCAGAUCAGACGUGGCGACCCGCUGAAUUUAAGCAUAUUAGUCAGCGGAGGAAAAGAAACUAACGAGGAUUCCCUCAGUAACGGCGAGUGAAGAGGGAAGAGCCCAGCGCCGAAUCCCCGCCCCGCGGUGGGGCGCGGGACAUGUGGCGUACAGAAGCCCCCCUCCCCGGCGGCGCUCUCGGGGGACCCAAGUCCUUGUGAUCGAGGCCGCAGCCCGCGGACGGUGUGAGGCCG